CAAAAACUCAUCGAACCUUGAAAAAUCACUCCUAACGUUAACAAAGGCAAAGAAAUACUCGUAUGGGCUAUUGCUAUGCCUUAGUAUUGUACUCCACAAUACAACAGUAAUAUCACUACCAAAUUGGUUUCCAUUUCCGGUUGCGUAAAGUUGAGGUGCCGAGAUUCAAAGUCGUCGAUUGAAGCAGCAAUCCACCGGAAGCGAAUUAAAUCAUCGGCCGGCGGAUUCAAUCAGUUCGAGUUGCUAAAUGGAUCGAGAUGCUGCGACGAAGAAGAUAAUGUCACCAUGCGAUGUGGAGGCUUUGAAGAAAUGCUUGGAAGAAAAUAAAGGUGAUUACGUAAAGUGUCAAGCACAAAUUGAAGCUUUUAAAUCUUCUUGUUCUGUUAAGAAACCCAAUUCUUCUUCUACUGCUAGUUUUGAUAACAAAACCGUUCCUAGAUAGUAUGGAAGAUGCUAAAUAUGAAUUUUGAUUAGUUUGUUUGUAUACCAAUAUUUUAAUAUUUGCUUUGUAAUC